GCCCUCUACAAGGACGUCAUGCAGGAGAACUACAAGAUGGUGACCUCGCUGGGAUUUCCCAUUCGCCAACCUGAGCUGAUUGCCUGGCUGGAGCGAGGGGAAGAGCCGUGGGGGCCCGAUCUCCAGGCCUGCGAGGAAAGAGAGAUCCCGAGAGGCACCCACACAGGUAAGAAAGCUGGGACAGAAAGGGAAGCAAAAUAGAUAAGAUUGAAGGUCAGAAGAAGCUAAAACUGCACAGGUUGCAAAUUAUCCAGAAACUGUGAAAGUGAACUGAACUGUGAAAGUCUCUGUUAACUAAGCAUCCCCUGAGAUGAGUGCAUUUCAGUUUCAGUGAACUGCAGAGGGCUUGUGGCCCAGCACAAGAAAGCAGGAAAAUGAGUACCAGUGACACUGCCAAUAAACUAGAGCUGGCCAGACUGGAAGCAAAAGAGAAAGAAAACGAACAUAAGAGAUGCCUAGAACUAAGACGAUUAGAACUUAAUGCGGUGGAGGCAGAAAAAGCCAGGGAAGAGGCUGCCCACAAGAGAGCUAUGGAGGCAGACACAGCAAGAGUGGAGGCAGAGGCAGCUGCCCCCAGAGAGCUAUGGAGGCCCAGAGGGAGGCCCAGAAACAUGAACUGGCUGUUAUGGAGUUGAAGGGACAAAAUCCUUCACCUGCUGGCUCCAAUUCCCCAAAAAUCCACAAAUUGGAGCGACUAUGUCCACAGUAUGAUGAGUCUAGCGAUAUUGCUGAAUAUUUCAUCACCUUUGAGAGAUGGUGCACCCUCCAUGCCAUCCCUGAAGAUCAGAAGAUGACCACAUUGAUAGCAAAAUUGACUGGCAGAGCUCUGGACAUAUUCAA